rnacentral:rRNA from 1 species
CAGCCGCCGCGGUAAUACGUAGGGCGCGAGCGUUGUCCGGAUUUACUGGGCGUAAAGGGCUCGUAGGCGGUCCGUCGCGUCGGCUGUGAAAGACCGCAGCUCAACUGCGGAAACGCAGUCGAUACGGGCGGACUAGAGGACGGUAGAGGCAAGCGGAAUUCCUGGUGUAGCGGUGAAAUGCGCAGAUAUCAGGAGGAACACCGAUGGCGAAGGCAGCUUGCUGGGCCGUUCCUGACGCUGAGGAGCGAAAGCGUGGGGAGCGAACAGGAUUAGAUACCCUGGUAGUCCACGCCGUAAACGGUGGGCGCUAGGUGUGGGGAUCGCCUAGAUUUCCGCGCCGUAGCUAACGCAUUAAGCGCCCCGCCUGGGGAGUACGGCCGCAAGGCUAAAACUCAAAGGAAUUGACGGGGGCCCGCACAAGCGGCGGAGCAUGUGGCUUAAUUCGAUGCAACGCGAAGAACCUUACCUGGGCUUGACAUGCACCGGAAACCUGCAGAGAUGCAGGCCCCUUUAAGGCCGGUGCACAGGUGGUGCAUGGCC